GCAUGAGAGGCUAAGAUGCAAUUUAGAGAAAAUUGCAACUUUGGGCCCAAAGGUUUGAAUAAUUAAAUUCAAACCUAUAGUUUUUUUUUAAUAUAAUUUUGGGACUCACAAUCCCAUUUUUAUAUUAUUUUUCUCUCUUCCUCUCACGUUGCUCGGCGUUUUCUCGCAAGGGGGGAUUAUUUUCUUUUUUCUUCAGAUUAUAUUGACAAAGAUAGUGGUGAAAAAGGAGUUGUGAAGGGGAACUUGUUAUUCAAGACACAAGGAGCGAAUCCGGCCGAGAAAGCACCAGAGGUGUAAUUAUGGUGUAUGAGACACCAUCUUUUACGUUGCCUCUUAUUUUGGAUUAUACAAUGUAUCUUGUGCCAACUUAGGACAUAUCUUGUCU